ACACAGUGAAGAGGCUUUUUCUUUGUCACUGUUCGCGUCUUCUCCUCUCAUUUCUUCCCUGACACCCCCAUUCUCCUCUCCUUGCGAUUCUUCUUCAAUCCGAUGACGACAACAUCUGAUGGCUUUUGUGAAGGUGACGACCUAUCUUAGGGUUCUUUAACGACGGAAGGGUUUUUCUCCGGUGGUGGAGAGCCCUCUCAUCUCUUAAGAAGAAGCAGCGGCUUCAAGCUAGGGUUCCUGUCGGAGUGCUUAGCUUCAGCAGGGCUUUUCAUCAAGAGGAGGGCAUUCCUAUUCCAUACCUUCUUAAGAGGAGAUCUCUUGCAUACGUGGCUAUGAAUGCAGAGGACUCAACAGAGGAAGUCCUUUGUCCUUUCUUUUUCUCCAAAACCUUUCUGAAUCCAACAAUGUGCUGCUAUAGAGGCCUUCUUCUGUGGAUGGCAUUGCAGAAGCAGAAGACUCCUCCAUCUCAGUUUGUGUACCAAUUUCCAGUCAAUCAGAGGUUAGUCAUUGAGUUGCUGUUCACUGGGGCUGGUGAAUCCAAAUCCGGGUCCUUCGUAUGACCGUAGAGGGUAGUUAUAUUGGUGUUUGAUCGCAAAAGAGUGAUUUGGAUAGUUUAGUUUACUUUCUUGUUGAUUGUUUCUGUUUAGUUGUUAGUUUACUUUUGUGUUUGAUCUAUAGUUAUGUUAUGAUGCAUGAUAGAUUGUUUGUUAUUGCACUUUCUUAGUUUCAUUUAUGUAUGAUUGUUGAUCUUGUA